GACGAACGCUGGCGGCGUGCUUAACACAUGCAAGUCGAACGGAAAGGCCCUGCUUGCAGGGUACUCGAGUGGCGAACGGGUGAGUAACACGUGGGUGAUCUGCCCUGCACUUCGGGAUAAGCUUGGGAAACUGGGUCUAAUAACGGAUAGGACCGCACUUUAGUGUGUGUGGUGGAAAGUUUUUUCGGUGUAGGAUGAGCUCGCGGCCUAUCAGCUUGUUGGUGGGGUAAUGGCCUACCAAGGCGGCGACGGGUAGCCGGCCUGCGAGGGUGUACGGCCACAUUGGGACUGAGAGACGGCCCAGACUCCUACGGGAGGCAGCAGUGGGGAAUAUUGCACAAGGGGCGCAAGCCUGAUGCAGCGACGCCGCGUGGGGGAUGAAGGCCUUCGGGUUGUAAACUCCUUUCGCUAGGGACGAAGCUUUUUGUGACGGUACCUAGAUAAGAAGCACCGGCUAACUACGUG
rnacentral:rRNA from 1 species